AAUGAACGUUGGCGGCGUGGAUUAGGCAUGCAAGUCGAGCGAGAACCCAGCAAUGGGGGACAGCGGCGAAAGGGACAGUAAUGUGUAGAUUAUCUGCCCUCGGGUCCGGGAUAGCUGCGGGAAACUGCAGGUAAUACCGGAUAACAUCUCCGGAUCAAAGGUGUGAUUCCGCCCGAGGAUGAGUCUGCAUCCUAUUAGCUUGUUGGUGGGGUAAUGGCCUACCAAGGCUUUGAUGGGUAGCGGGUGUGAGGGCACGACCCGCGUCAUUGGGACUGAGACACUGCCCAGACACCUACGGGUGGCUGCAGUCGAGAAUCUUCGGCAAUGGGCGCAAGCCUGACCGAGCGACGCCGCGUGUGGGAUGAAGGCCUUCGGUUGUAACCACUGUCAGAGGGGAGUGAAAUAGCGAGGUGGGUUCGUUCCCACCUUGUUUGUACAUAGCCUCAGAGGAAGGACGGGCGUAAGUUCGUG
rnacentral:rRNA from 1 species